CGGCGGGCCGCGCCGGCCGGCGCGGCCGCUCCCGCCGGCCGGGAGCGGAACGGCGCCCCGCGCCCGGCGUCCCGGCCGACGCGCGCCGCC
rnacentral:tRNA from 1 species